ensembl:snRNA U6 U6 spliceosomal RNA
GUGCUUGCUGCAGCAGCGUGUAUACUAAAAUUGGAACAAUGCAGAGAUUAUCAUGGCCCCUUCACAAGGAUGACUUGCCAAUUUGUGAAGUGUUCCAUUAAAAA